UGGGGAAUUUUGGACAAUGGGCGAAAGCCUGAUCCAGCCAUGCCGCGUGAGUGAAGAAGGCCUUCGGGUUGUAAAGCUCUUUUAGUCGGAAAGAAAAGAUCGUAAAUAAUACUUGCGAUUAAUGACGGUACCGACAGAAAAAGCACCGGCUAACUACGUGCCAGCAGCCGCGGUAAUACGUAGGGUGCGAGCGUUAAUCGGAAUUACUGGGCGUAAAGGGUGCGCAGGCGGUUUUGUAAGUCAGAUGUGAAAUCCCCGGGCUUAACCUGGGAAUUGCGUUUGGAACUAUAAGACUAGAGUGCAAGAGAGGGGAGUGGAAUUCCAUGUGUAGCAGUGAAAUGCGUAGAGAUGUGGAAGAACACCGAUGGCGAAGGCAGCUCCCUGGAUUGACACUGACGCUCAUGCACGAAAGCGUGGGGAGCAAACA
rnacentral:rRNA from 1 species